AGGGUUUGAUUAUGGCUCAGGAUGAACGCUAGCGGCAGGCUUAACACAUGCAAGUCGAGGGGUAACAGAGAGUGCUUGCACUUUGCUGACGACCGGCGCACGGGUGCGUAACGCGUAUGCAACCUACCUUCUACAGGGGGAUAGUCAAUAGAAAUGUUGAAUAAUACCCCAUACGAUCUUCGAGAGGCAUUACUUGAAGAAGAAAGCUCCGGCGGUAGAAGAUGGGCAUGCGUCCUAUUAGUUAGUUGGUGAGGUAACGGCUCACCAAGACCGCGAUAGGUAGGGGCCCUGAGAGGGGGAUCCCCCACACUGGUACUGAGACACGGACCAGACUCCUACGGGAGGCAGCAGUGAGGAAUAUUGGACAAUGGAGGCAACUCUGAUCCAGCCAUGCCGCGUGCAGGAAGACUGCCCUAUGGGUUGUAAACUGCUUUUAUACAGGAAGAAACCUACUUACGUGUAAGUAGCUGACGGUACUGUAAGAAUAAGGAUCGGCUAACUCCGUGCCAGCCGCCGCGGUAAUAC
rnacentral:rRNA from 1 species